AACGAAGAAGCCCAACCUAGGCCAUUGCAGCACAAACACUCCUGGGCAAGCUGAUGCAGGCAAACAGAAGAAGUACCUGAGCAAGAAGAAGGAACGCCCUAAAGUCUACGUCCAGGUCCACUAAGGCGAGGUCCACUGCUCAUGCUCGAGUUCACCCUCAAGCUGCUCCUGAGAGUCGCAAUAAUACAAAGGAAAGGGCUACUAGUCAUCACCACGGACCAACCCCAAUAGCUAAGUCCUGGAACAACGUACAACC
rnacentral:rRNA from 1 species